GGAGGAGUGGCAGAGUCUGGCUGAUUGCGGCGGUCUUGAAAACCGUUGUGGCUUCGCGCCACCGUGGGUUCGAAUCCUACCUCCUCCG
rnacentral:tRNA from 1 species